AUAUUAUAUAAUUUCAUGAUGCUAUUCUUCAACAGAUUAAGUUGGCUACUUAUGAUCCAAAGGGUUCUUCGACUGGAACACCCGUCACCUGCGAUCAGGAAUUUUGCACUGAUGUAUUAAAGGCCUCAUAUUCUGAUUGCUCGGUUGGAAGGCUUUGUGAGUAUUCUAUCACUUACGGAGAUGGAAGCUCUACCGCAGGCUUCUUUGUCAAAGAUAGUGUACAUUUUAAUCGUGCAUCCGGAGAUUUUCAAUCUACAGUCCUGAAUGGGAGUGUGACUUUUGGGUGAGUUUUCACUCUUGCUCUCUAGUUUUGACAGGUUAAUUUAUACUAUUUAUGUUAUACUAUAAUAAGCCAACAUGGGUAUAAUUUGUACUACUAAAAUUUGGUUUGGUUUGGUCAUUCCCAAAUGACCCUUUUCUCUAUUUAAAUAAAUAAAUAAUGAUAAGUAAUUAUAUAAACAGUAUCUUACUUAGUUAUAACGUAUUCUACUUAUUAAAACAAAUCAUCACGUAACUCUUCUUAAUUCUAAUGUAUUUUACUUCAAUACAAACACAAAUCAUGUAACUAUUUUUAACUCUAAUGUUAUGUAUUUCAAGACAAACAUGAUUUCUAUACAAGGAACUAAUAUAAUUUUCCUCACAAAAGAAGAAAUAUGAAAUAUGAUAUAUAUGAUUUAAAAUUAAUCAAAAAACACGUUAUCGCAUAUUUAUAUUAGAAAAACAUUUGUAGGUAGAUAAUAAAAAUAUAUAUUGUUUAUAAUACCGAUUUACAAUAUAAAAAAAUAUUGUAAAAACUAAAUUUGUAAGAGUAAAUACAAUCAAACGGCUGGUAUGAUCUAAUCAAAUUUCAAUUCAUUAUCAUUGCCCAUUAAAAAAAUUAUGACAUCCAACAGUAUCAAACAAAUAAUAAAAUAAUCUUGAAAAUUAAAUUUUAAAUAAUAAAUUUUGAACUAUAUAGUUGCCCGUGCUUCGCAUGGGUUAAGGGAUAGUACUAAUAAUAACAUAAAUACAGUUCACAUGUCCGACAUCAGUUUGCUUGUCAUUAUAUGGGUUUUAUUCAUUUCAUGUCAGUGUUUGUGGUGUGUAUGCAUAUAUCAGUUAUUUAGGUGCAAUGGUGCCGAGUUUGAAUGAUGUAUCAAUUUAUCUCCAUGGUGUAAUUCAUUCAGUAAUGCUUAUGACAUGUUAAUAAUUAUUUGACCCGUGUAGGUGUGGAGCUAAACAGUCUGGGGAGCUAGGUUCGUCUGAUGAGUCAGUUGAUGGAAUAAUUGGAUUUGGACAAAAUAACUCGUCCCUAAUAUCACAGCUCGCUUCAGCUAAGAAGGUGAAAAAGGUGUUUUCUCAUUGCUUGGAUGGGAAAAAUGGCGGGGGUAUUUUUGCUAUUGGAGAAGUAGUACAGCCAAAAUAUGCUUCGACACCUCUGGUCCCAGAUAUGUAUGUCAUAUACACUAUAUUUUUAUUAAUCUAUUAUAAGUAUCAUAUCUUUUUAAUUUUCUUAUAAUUAUGUAGAGAUAAAACUAUAUUUCAUAUGGUGUAGGCUUUAUGGUUAAAUGUAAAUUCUGACUCCAACUUCGUCCUGAGUUGUAUAUAUAGGGUGACUUAUGUUUGUGACACUUAGGGUGAGGCCAGUGUCAUAAUAAGUGGUACAAAUGAAUUUCCUUGUGAGUGCUCUCUAAUACUUUUGCUUUUCUGUGUAGAAAGAAGGCAGCACUAGCUAGUAAUGCUCAAGUUAUGGAGUGAUCUGAACUAAUCCUAGUCCUUAAGAAUAUUAAGAAAAUUUAAUGACAUGGUUAAAAAAGGAAUUGAUAGGCAAAAUUGGUUUUGUUUUUUUGUGUGGGGGAUGUACUCCAGAAGCAGAGUAUGUUAGGCCUGCAAAAGUUGUAAAAUGGGAGUUUCUUUUCUCGCCUGUCUGAGAGUUCCUGUCUGAAUCUUUUAAUUUUCAUGAAAUUGAACUGAUGAGCUAAUCUGACAUUUGGUCAUCAACUGUUCAUCUUCUUUUUACUAUCUUUAUAGGUUUCCUAUUUCAAGAAUCUUCAUUUACCAUUUCCUGCUAGCUGUAUUUAUGUAUAUUUUAUUGAAUUUAAGUUAUGAUGGCAUUCCUCAGUAUGGCUUAGAACCUGGUUUUAAUUAUAGUUUUAUCACUAUCUUAGGCCACAUUAUAAUGUUAUUAUGAAGGCAGUUGAGGUGGGUGGUGAUGUUCUAGAACUUCCAACAGAUAUAUUUGAUGCUGGUGAUAACAGAGGCACUAUAAUUGAUAGUGGUACAACACUGGCCUAUCUUCCUGAUGAAGUUUUGAGGCCAAUGAUGAAAAAGGUUUCCAAUAUGUUUUAGUUUUUUUCUAGUUUUUCUCAAGAUAUUUGCAUGCCGUUAAUUUAUUCUGCAUAUCAAUUUUGCUGCCUUCUCAAAAUAGAUAAUGGCACGGCAACCUGAUGUGAAACUUCACACACUGGAGGAGCAGUUCACGUGCUUUCCGUACAAAGGAAAGUAAGACAUCUUACUGAAGGCUUUCUUUUACCUCAUAUGCGACCUAAGAGUUAAUGACAUAUGAAUCAGAUGUUGGAUUUUAUUUUUGUAUCAUAAUAAAAUAAUUUGUGUAUUCAUAACUUUUCAUAUGCUUUUAUUACAAGAAGCUUAGCAGGAGCAGUAUAGUUUAUGUUUCUUGGGAUGUGAGUAAAAAUUGAGGGCUGGGGAUGGGUGUUUGCUUGCUUAGUAAUCAUCUGAUGAAUAAUACCUUGUACUCUCCAAAAGUCCUUGUUCUUGCUUUUUGUUAAAUACGCGCGCGUGUGUGUGUUCUUAUAUAUAUACUACAUUGUCUGUUGAUACUGAAGGAAGGAGUGACACUUGACAUGCAAUAAAGUUUCUUUAGAGGGUAAUGUUAUUAAGUUGAGAAGUGGUGUUCCCUCAAUGAUCUUAACACUAGCAGUUUAGGUUACAUCAAAAGCAGAAAAAUAGUUUUGCUGUUAAUUGCAGUUAGCCACUGAUUUUCUUGCUAUGCUUUGUGAUAUACAAAAUGAAGAUGAAGAAAGAGAAAACAUGAGCUAAGGGUUGUUUGGGUGAUAAAUGUAUUAAGUAGAGCACCAUAUUUCUAAUAAUAUAUGUUGAGUACAUUGUAGUCUUGUUUAUUUUUCACUGUUAAUUGUUUUCUUCUCGCCUUCGAUAACAUUGCCUGUAUUUUCUUCUCCAUUAAUGAUUUUUUGCAGCGUUGAUGAUGGUUUUCCAGUUGUCACCUUUCAUUUUGAAGAUUCACUUUCUUUGUCAGUUUAUCCCCAUGAUUACCUUUUUGCUGUUGAUGUAAGUAUUUUGUCAUGAGCAUACGACAUUUGUGUACAGUGUCUUGAUACAAAAAGAUCAUUAUGUUUUUCAAUCAUUUAAUCUUUGUAUAUUUAAGCAUGUGAUAUCUGGAGUUGUUCCACGAAUUUAUAUAAAUCAGAUAUAGUAAUAACAUUGGUAUCAUGCCCCCAAGCGGGGUAAUGGGGAGAAGUGGAAUAAAGAAAAUGAUUACUUUAGUUGUGUUAGUAAUUGUGACAAGUGGAGUAAUGAAAUAGUUUAGAUGUAUGAAGACACUUUCCUAAUAAUGAUUAUGCAGAGUGACAAUCUUCUUUUGUUGUGUUCAGACAUAUUAUUGGUUGGUUAUUCGAUUGAUUUUCUAUUUCUUCUCACAUCUUAAAGAACAAAGGCUCCUAUUAUAAGAUGUUUUUUUCGAGUUACAUCAAGGUUGCUGUUCCAAGUAUGUGGUUUUGAGAACAAGCUCCUCACUUGUUUUCAAUGUCUGUGGUUCUUUGAGAUUUCUUGUCUGGUUAUUAAUAGAUAAACCAGAUCAUGAACACUUUGAGCUAGUGCCAUAAACCUUUGUUGCGAAAAUAAUUGUUCUAAGGUGAUCCUUGAUUCUGAAAUGAUCGAGGCAAUACUAGUUUAUGCCGAUCCAUGAGUGCCAUAAACCUUUGUUGUGGAAAAAUUUCUUCUAAAGUGAUUCUUGAUUCUGAAAUGGUCUAUCAGUUUAAGCUGAUACCAUGAGAUAGCCUAAAAUAUCUUCAUGCUUAAGUGAAUCAAGUAUAGAAGAGUUAGCUCUUUCAUAUUCAUAUAUUACUUUACUGUACUGGGUCCAAAGCAAAUAUCCUAUCAAUUUUAAAGCAGACUUAUGAAAGAGAAUGAAGCACAUAAUAUUUAGAGCUUGAUUGAGCACAUGAUGAACAUGGCUACAAAUAUUAUAUAUAUAGUCUUACUCUAGGACAAACUACUAAAUGGAAACUAAAUACAGCCCCAUGCUUUCAGGAGAAUUGGGAGGUUUUGGGCCUGAAGAACGGACCCCAAGUUGGGCCUUGGCAAGGCCUAGGUGGGGUCUAGUGGGCGGGGGUGGGGUCAAGUGUUGGCUCUUGAGUUUGUCUAGAGCCCCUCCUGUCAGAGGUGGGUCCUCGGGUGGGUGAUGUCAUCUAGGGGUGGGUGAUGUCAUAGUUUCUCUUGGUUUGUAUUUGAUCACUAGCCAAAGGGUUCUUCGACUGGAACACCCGUCACCUGCGAUCAGGAAUUUUGCACUGAUGUAUUAAAGGCCUCAUAUUCUGAUUGCUCGGUUGGAAGGCUUUGUGAGUAUUCUAUCACUUACGGAGAUGGAAGCUCUACCGCAGGCUUCUUUGUCAAAGAUAGUGUACAUUUUAAUCGUGCAU
rnacentral:lncRNA from 1 species